GACGAACGCUGGCGGCGUGCUUAACACAUGCAAGUCGAGCGGUAAGGCCCUUUCGGGGGUACACGAGCGGCGAACGGGUGAGUAACACGUGGGUGACCUGCCCUCAGCUCUGGGAUAAGCCUGGGAAACCGGGUCUAAUACUGGAUAUGACUCCAUGACGCAUGUUGUGGGGUGGAAAGCCUUGUGCGGCUGAGGAUGGGCCCGCGGCCUAUCAGCUUGUUGGUGGGGUGANGGCCUACCAAGGCGACGACGGGUAGCCGGCCUGAGAGGGCGACCGGCCACACUGGGACUGAGACACGGCCCGGACUCCUACGGGAGGCAGCAGUGGGGAAUAUUGGACAAUGGGGGCAACCCUGAUCCAGCGACGCCGCGUGGGUGAAGAAGGCCUGCGGGUUGUAAAGCCCUUUCGGUGGGGGAAGAAAAGUCUCGACCUAAUACGUCGGGACCUUGACGUAACCCACUAAAGAAGCACCGGCUAACUCUGUGCC
rnacentral:rRNA from 1 species